GAGGCCUUAGAAGAUUAGGAUGGGAAAAGUUGAGUAGAAAGAACUUCAAGAAUGUCCCUUCCUUCAACGACAUGCAUCUCAUACAACUGCUGUUCUGUGGAAGAUCUUCUAGAAAACCAGAAAGUGUUUAUAAAAUAUAUUAUGUAAAGGAUUUUUAAAUGGAGCCACUUACAAUGAUAUCACUGAUCUAGGAGACAAAUUAUGAAUUCUAGGAGCAGUUACCUUCAUCUAAGUUGUGCGGCCUUGGGCUCUGCUCUGCUUUUGCUGACACUUUUCCACUGAAGACACCUUCUGUGAAGACCUGGUUGAGUCUUGGCGUAGUUGAAUUUGUUCUGAGAGUUCUCUCUGUCAUUCUCUAUGACACUCUGUCAAAGAUGCCUGAGAUAAAAUUAUUUCUACAGGCACUAGGAUGUCGCUGGCAUUUAAGGAAGUCACCGUGGGAAGACAGCCCCAGGUGAACCUGGCUUUUUAAAAAAAUUAUUAUUAUUAUUUACACUUAAUCACUGUAUAUCAUUGCUCAGCUUUUGAUGUCAGGGUCACCUCUGUGCCAGGUGUUGAACUCACAGCUUUUCUACAUGUCCCCUGAAGGAAACACAUGGUCAUCCUUAAGCAGAGCAUUCACCAUGCCAUUGCUCUCUGCAAACUGUAACAUGCAGUCUAUUUCCUGUCAUCUGUAGUUGUUAACUCUACAUAACCUGGACUUGAUUAACCUGCCUGAGCCCUCCAGCCUGUUUCUCAGUGAUGCCAUCUUCCUCUGUGCUGCCAUAGUGCCCUGAACUUAGGAUGGUCCUUCAACAGAACUCCCCUCUCUUAUUUCUUGGUGUAGCUCAGCUGAAACAUGACCUUUCCUAAACCCUUAUGCCAUUGCUCUGCCCUUCUCUGCUCUUCCAUCUCAUCUCUCUGCUCUUUUUAGCAUUUAUUAUAUUAACUAAUAGAGUCCUACUUAAAUGGUCUGUUCAGUUAUCCAUCUCCUGCAAUUAUGCUAUAAGCUCUUUGAAGACAGUGGCUUCCAGUAUCAACGCUGUGCCUGCUUCUAGUAGGUGCUCAAUAAAUGGCUGUUGAUUACCUGCUAAUCUCUAACACUGAAGUCACUGACUAUUUUGAAUGGUGUUGUCCCCACCUUCCAGACUAUUUAAUCCUAGCAGACAAAUAUUCUGCUUAAUAAGCACUGUCCCCUCAGUGUCUGGUUUGAAGAGGUAUCCAGUAAGUAAAGAAUUGAAGAAAAAUUCAAAUUUUUUAAUCCUGCACUUGAACCUGUUCACAGCUUGCCCUACCUUCUCUGAAAUACAUCCCUCUCCACAAUUGUCACAUUUUGUAUUUCUUUUUCAUUGUAUUUUUUUUUUUGAGAAGUUUUUGCUA